ACGGGGCAUUGCCCAGUAACGGCGAGUGAAGCGGCAACAGCUCAAAUUUGAAAUCUGGCCCCCCGGCCCGAGUUGUAAUUUGGAGAGGAUGCUUUUGGCACGGCGCCGUCCGAGUUCCUUGGAACAGGACGCCACAGAGGGUGAGAGCCCCGUACGGACGGACGCCUAGCCUCUACAAAGCUCCUUCGACGAGUCGAGUAGUUUGGGAAUGCUGCUCAAAAUGGGAGGUAAAUUUCUUCUAAAGCUAAAUACCGGCCAGAGACCGAUAGCGCACAAGUAGAGUGAUCGAAAGAUGAAAAGCACUUUGAAAAGAGGGUUAAAAAGUACGUGAAAUUGUUGAAAGGGAAGCGCCUGUGACCAGACUUGCGCCCCGUGGACCAUCCGGCGUUCUCGCCGGUGCACUCCGCGGGGCGCAGGCCAGCAUCGGUUCUCCUAGGGGGAUAAAGGCCGCGGGAACGUAGCUCCUUCGGGAGUGUUAUAGCCCGUGGUGGCAUGCCCCUGGGGGGACCGAGGACCGCGCUUCGGCAAGGAUGCUGGCGUAAUGGUCACCAGCGACCCGUCUUGAAACCACGGACCA
rnacentral:rRNA from 1 species